AGAGAGAGACAUGCGCGCAUAUCAAUAAGCGGAGGAAAAGAAACUAACAAGGAUUCCCCUAGUAACGGCGAGUGAAGCGGGAAGAGCUCAAAUUUGAAAUCUUAAAGGGUUUCCCUUUACGAAUUGUAGUUUAAAGAAGUGUUUUCUGUUGAGGUUUUGGUAAAAGUUCUUUGGAAUAGGACAUCAUAGAGGGUGAGAAUCCCGUAUUUGACCUUUACUUUCAACUUUGUGAUACACUUUCAAAGAGUCAGAUUGUUUGGGAAUGCAGUCCAAAAUGGGUGGUAAAUUUCAUCUAAAGCUAAAUAUUGGCGAGAGACCGAUAGCGAACAAGUACCGUGAGGGAAAGAUGAAAAGAACUUGAAAAGAGAGUUAAACAGUACGUGAAAUUGUCAAAAGGGAAGCGUUUGACACCAGUGUUGUUUUUCUGAAAAUCAAUUAAAGAACUGUUUAUGCUAAGUUGUUUAGACUUUAUCAGCUAACUGUUUAGUUUUGAGCUUUUCUUUAAUGCACUUUUCAGUUAACAAGUCAACAUCAAUUUCUUUUGCUGUAAAAAAGCUUGAGGAAGGUGGCUUGAGAUUCGUCUUAAGUGUUUAUAGCCUCUUGCCUAUGCAGUCGGAGAGAUUGAGGUCUGCAGCGUAGAUCCUUCGGGGCUAAAUGCAUUUGUGCUAAGUUAUAGCAUUUUAUAGACAACUUGUUGACUAUGAUUUGUCUUGUAGCUUACUCGCUUAUGUUAUUUUACCUACGCUUAGGAUGUUGAAGACUCUACAGAGAUA
rnacentral:rRNA from 1 species